AUUGAACGCUGGCGGCAGGCUUAACACAUGCAAGUCGAGCGAGCGGCGGACGGGUGAGUAAUGUCUGGGAAACUGCCUGAUGGAGGGGGAUAACUACUGGAAACGGUAGCUAAUAACGCAUACCAUCAGAUGUGCCCAGCUGGGAUUAGCUAGUAGGUGGGGUAAUGGCGCACAUAGGCGACGAUCCCUAGCUGGUCUGAGAGGAUGACCAGCCACAAUGGAACUGAGACACGGUCCAGACGCCUACGGGAGGAAGCAGGGGGGAAUAUUGCACAAUGGGCGCAAGCCUGAUGCAGCCAUGCCGCGUGUAUGAAGAAGGCCUUCGGGUUGUAAAGCACUUUCAGCGAGGAGGCGUUACUCGCAGAAGAAGCACCGGCUAACUCCGUGCCAGCAGCCGCGGUAAUUC
rnacentral:rRNA from 1 species